GACGAACGCUGGCGGCGUGCUUAACACAUGCAAGUCGAACGGAAAGGCCCCUUUGGGGGUACUCGAAUGGCGAACGGGUGAGUAACACGUGAGUAACCUGCCCUUGACUUCGGGAUAACUUCAGGAAACUGGGGCUAAUACCGGAUAGGAAUCCUUGCUGCAUGGUGGGGGUUGGAAAGCUUCGGCGGUUUUGGAUGGACUCGCGGCUUAUCAGCUUGUUGGUGGGGUAGUGGCUUACCAAGGCUUUGACGGGUAGCCGGCCUGAGAGGGCGACCGGCCACAUUGGGACUGAGAUACGGCCCAGACUCCUACGGGAGGCAGCAGUGGGGAAUAUUGCACAAUGGGCGGAAGCCUGAUGCAGCAACGCCGCGUGCGGGAUGACGGCCUUCGGGUUGUAAACCGCUUUCAGCAGGGGCGAAGCUUGUGGUGACGGUACCUGCAGAAGAAGCACCGGCUAACUACGUG
rnacentral:rRNA from 1 species